rnacentral:rRNA from 1 species
GUGGGGAAUAUUGGACAAUGGGCGAAAGCCUGAUCCAGCCAUGCCGCGUGUGUGAAGAAGGCCUUUUGGUUGUAAAGCACUUUAAGCGAGGAGGAGGCUACUUGGAUUAAUACUCUAGGAUAGUGGACCUUACUCGCAGAAUAAGCACCGGCUAACUCUGUGCCAGCAGCCGCGGUAAUACAGAGGGUGCGAGCGUUAAUCGGAUUUACUGGGCGUAAAGCGUGCGUAGGCGGCUUCUUAAGUCGGAUGUGAAAUCCCUGAGCUUAACUUAGGAAUUGCAGUCGAUACUGGGAAGCUAGAGUAUGGGAGAGGAUGGUAGAAUUCCAGGUGUAGCGGUGAAAUGCGUAGAGAUCUGGAGGAAUACCGAUGGCGAAGGCAGCCAUCUGGCCUAAUACUGACGCUGAGGUACGAAAGCAUGGGGAGCAAACAGGAUUAGAAACCCCAGUAGUCC